CGAUAUCCAUGAAUCUCCCCGUAUGGAAAUUUGAUCACCUCUCUCCACCCUCCAACAGCGUCCAUUAUCAAGAAGUCCUCUCGCAGCCUAUAUACUUUUCCAGGUAAAUGAAGGAUCUCUUCUUCUUCUUCAUCAAGAGAUAAACCCGCAAAUUCUGAUUCCAUGGAUGCUGUACUCGAAUCCUCCGUUAAAGAAAUCACUUCAAAUCAAUGGAGAUGAACGCCACCAAAACAAGAAAACACAAAAAAAGACUUGCCAGAGAAGCAGACAGAGACGUGCUAGGGUAGCAGACUAUGGAAUAAGUUUUAACUAAUUUUUAAAAGUAAUAAAUACUAAUUAAAUAAACAUAA